rnacentral:sRNA from 1 species
CCCCGGGUUGAAACCCGGGGCUACAAAUAUUUCGCUCCUACGGAGCU